CCCUAGUAACGGCGAGUGAACAGGGAGAAGCCAAAUUUCGUAAUCUGGCACUUUUUACAAGUGUCCGAGUUGUAAUUUGUAGAACUGUUAUCCGUGCUGGACCAUGUACAAGUCUGUUGAAAAGCAGCAUCAUUGAAGGUGAAAAUCCUGUAGAUGAUAUGGACUACCAGUACUUUUGUGAUACGGUUUCUAAGAGUCGAGUUGUUUGGGAAUGCAGCUCAAAGUGGGUGGUAAAUUCCAUCUAAGGCUAAAUAUAAGUGAGAGACCGAUAGCAAACAAGUACCGUGAGGGAAAGAUGAAAAGAACUUUGAAAAUAGAGUUAACAGUACGUGAAAUUGCUGAAAGGGAAACGUUUGAAGUUAGUUUUGUAUUCGUUGGAUCAGCUUCGCAAGGAGUGUAUUCUGAUGAUAAGCAAGUCAACAUCAGUUAUGAGUGUCGGAGAAGGGUUUUGAGAAUGUAGCAAUUUAAUUGUGUUAUAGAUUGAGACUUGGAUACGGUGCUUUGGAUUGAGGAACGCGUAGUAAGCUUUGAGCGAUUCGAAGAUCUCCUUACUAUG
rnacentral:rRNA from 1 species